AGUUACAGCCCGGGAUGUACCAAUAGAAGGAGAUUCGAUGAAAUCACAAAAGAACCUAGCUGUCAAGAAAAAGCGUUCUACAGGCUGUAUGUCUUCAAUAAAAAAAAAUGCUUGUAAAGUAGCCGGAGCUCUUUUGUGUGCAGUGUGUUUUCGACAAAUGAAUCACCCAUAGGAGAUUCUACUAAAUGUUUAAACAAUCCGUGCGUGUGCAAAGAACGUAUCCAAUGAGAACAAUCUAAUUUGCAGAAAUAUACAGUUAAAAAUACAGAUUUUAAAUAAAUAUAAAUGUACAAAAUUAAAUUGUGUACGCUAUUACUAAACCAAAAAC